rnacentral:tRNA from 1 species
GGAGAGAUGGCCGAGUGGUCGAAGGCGCCUGCCUCGAAAGCAGGUGUACCCUCCGGGUACCGGGGGUUCGAAUCCCUCUCUCUCCG